GAUGAACGCUGGCGGCGUGCCUAAUACAUGCAAGUCGAGCGAACGGACGAGAAGCUUGCUUCUCUGAUGUUAGCGGCGGACGGGUGAGUAACACGUGGAUAACCUACCUAUAAGACUGGGAUAACUUCGGGAAACCGGAGCUAAUACCGGAUAAUAUUUUGAACUGCAUGGUUCAAAAGUGAAAGACGGUCUUGCUGUCACUUAUAGAUGGAUCCGCGCUGCAUUCGCUAGUUGGUAAGGUAACGGCUUACCAAGGCAACGAUGCAUAGCCGACCUGAGAGGGUGAUCGGCCACACUGGCACUGAGACACGGUACAGACUCCUACGGGAGGCAGCAGUAGGGAAUCUUCCGCAAUGGGCGAAAGCCUGACGGAGCAACGACGCGUGAGUGAUGAAAGUCUUCGGAUCGUAAAACUCUGUUAUUAGGGAAGAACAUAUGUGUAAGUAAAUGUGCACAUCUUGACGGUACCUAAUCAGAAAGCCACGGCUAACUACGUG
rnacentral:rRNA from 1 species